rnacentral:rRNA from 1 species
UACAGAGGGUGCAAGCGUUAAUCGGAUUUACUGGGCGUAAAGGGCGCGUAGGCGGACUAAUCAGUCAGUUGUGAAAUACCUGGGCUUAACCGAGGGGUUGCAAUUGAAACUAUUAGUCUAGAGUGUAGUAGAGGGAAGUGGAAUAUCCAGUGUAGCGGUGAAAUGCGUAGAUAUUGGAUAGAACACCGGUGGCGAAGGCGGCUUCCUGGACUAACACUGACGCUGAGGCGCGAAAGCAUGGGUAGCGAACAGG